rnacentral:rRNA from 1 species
UACGUAGGGGGCAAGCGUUGUCCGGAAUCAUUGGGCGUAAAGAGCGUGUAGGCGGCUUGGUAAGUCCGCUGUGAAAGUCCAGGGCUCAACCCUGGAAUGCCGGUGGAAACUGUCAAGCUUGAGUCCGGAAGAGGCGAGUGGAAUUCCUGGUGUAGUGGUGAAAUGCGCAGAUAUCAGGAGGAACACCAAUGGCGAAGGCAGCUCGCUGGGACGGUACUGACGCUGAGGCGCGACAGCGUGGGGAGCAAACAGG